GACGAACGCUGGCGGCGUGCUUAACACAUGCAAGUCGAACGGAAAGGCCCUGCUUUUGUGGGGUGCUCGAGUGGCGAACGGGUGAGUAACACGUGAGUAACCUGCCCUUGACUUUGGGAUAACUUCAGGAAACUGGGGCUAAUACCGGAUAGGAGCUCCUGCUGCAUGGUGGGGGUUGGAAAGUUUCGGCGGUUGGGGAUGGACUCGCGGCUUAUCAGCUUGUUGGUGGGGUAGUGGCUUACCAAGGCUUUGACGGGUAGCCGGCCUGAGAGGGUGACCGGCCCCCUUGGGCCUGAGAUACGGCGCAGACUCCUACGGGAGGCAGCAGUGGGGAAUAUUGCACAAUGGGCGGAAGCCUGAUGCAGCAACGCCGCGUGCGGGAUGACGGCCUUCGGGUUGUAAACCGCUUUCGCCUGUGACGAAGCGUGAGUGACGGUAAUGGGUAAAGAAGCACCGGCUAACUACGUG
rnacentral:rRNA from 1 species